GACGAACGCUGGCGGCGUGCUUAACACAUGCAAGUCGAACGGAAAGGCCCUGCUUUUGUGGGGUGCUCGAGUGGCGAACGGGUGAGUAACACGUGAGUAACCUGCCCUUGACUUUGGGAUAACUUCAGGAAACUGGGGCUAAUACCGGAUAGGAGCUCCUGCUGCAUGGUGGGGGUUGGAAAGUUUCGGCGGUUGGGGCUGGACUCGCGGCUUAUCAGCUUGUUUGUGGGGUAGUGGCUUACCAAGGCUUUGACGGGUAGCCGGCCUGAGAGGGUGACCGGCCACAUUGGGACUGAGGUACGGCCCAGACUGCUACGGGAGGCAGCAGGGGGGAAUAUUGCACAAUGGGCGGAAGCCUGAUGCAGCAACGCCGCGUGCGGGAUGACGGCCUUCGGGUUGUAAACCGCUUUCGCCUGUGACGAAGCGUGAGUGACGGUAAUGGGUAAAGAAGCACCGGCUAACUACGUG
rnacentral:rRNA from 1 species